rnacentral:rRNA from 1 species
GAAGGAUCAUUGUCGAAGCUCAUGGCAGAAUGAAUUGUGAACAUGUACCAAUGCAAGAUUCGAGCGUCGGAACCAUCUCUUUGAUGUGGCCAUGACGAACCAAAACACUAGCGCAGCAGCGCCAAGGAACUCUGUAAUGGGAAUGCUACCUCGUAGAGCUCUCUUAUACUGCUUUUGAGGUUGGCAUCUUUGUAAUACAAAUGACUCUUGGCAAUGGAUAUCUCGGCUCUUGCAUCGAUGAAGAACGUAGUGAAAUGCGAUACUUGGUGUGAAUUGCAGAAUCCCGCGAACCAUCGAAACUUUGAACGCAAGUUGCGCCCCAAGCCAUUAGGUUGAGGGCACGUUUGCUUGGGUGUCAUGCAUUAUGUCUUCCCUCUCGUAUCUUGGAGUGGGAUUAGAUCAUGGCCUCCCGGGCCCGUCCUUGGGCGUGGUUGGCCGAAAGUGUUGUCCUUGAUUUUGUUCAUGUCUUGGCGUGUGGUGGAUGUACCGAGUGUGCAUGAUAAUGGCCCGCCUUGCUUGACUUCAUUGUGGCCUUGAGAUCCUAUGAAGCUGUUGCUGUUGGCUCUUUUAUUGCGACCCCAAGUC